rnacentral:rRNA from 1 species
GAUGAACGCUGGCGGCGUGCCUAAUACAUGCAAGUCGAGCGAACAGAUGCGGAGCUUGCUCCUUUGUCGUUAGCGGCGGACGGGUGUGUAACACGUGGAUAAUCUACCUAUAUGACUGGUAUAACUUCGGGAAACCGGAGCUAAUACCGGAUAAUAUAUUGAACCGCAUGGUUCAAUAGUGAAAGUCGGUUUUGCUGUCACUUAUCGAUGGAUCCGCGCCGCAUUAGCUAGUUGGUAAGGUAACGGCUUACCAAGGCAACGAUGCGUAGCCGACCGGAGAGGGUGGUCGGCCGCACGGGAGCUUGAACACGGACCAGGCUCCUACGAGAGGCAGCAGUAGGGAAUCUGCCGCAGUGGUCGGGAGCCUGACGGAGCAACGCCGCGUGAGUGGUGGAGGUCUUCGGAUCGUAAAGCUCUGUUAUGAGGUGAGAACAAAUGUGUAAGUAGCUAUGCACGUCUUGACGGUACCUGAUCAGAAAGCCACGGCUAACUACGUG